rnacentral:rRNA from 1 species
UCAUAUGCUUAUCUCAGAGAUUAAGCCAUGCAUGUCUAAGUACACAGUUUUGUACACUGAAACCGCGGAUAGCUCAUUAUAACAGCUAUGAUUUAAGAGAUAUAAUCUAUUUGCCAUAGGAUAACUGUGGUAAUUCUAGAGCUAAUAUUUUUAAGAAUGCCGUGACUCACGAAGCGGCGGAUUUAUUAGAUCAAAACUAACCUGUCGCAAGGCAGAAUUUUGAUGACUCUGGAUAACUUUACUGAUCGUAUAACGUUAUGUUGACGACGAAUCUCUUGAAAUGGCUGACCUAUCAACUUUCGAUGGUAAGAUCAAAGCUUACCAUGGUUGUAACGGGUAACGGGGAAUCAGUGUUCGAUUCCGGAGAGGGAGCCUGAGAAACGGCUCCCACAUCCACGGAAGGCAGCAGGCGCGAAAAUUACCCAAUACCGGUUCGGUGAGGUAGUGACAAUAAAUAACAAUAUGGGCCCUAGUGGUUUCAUAAUUGCAAUGAGAAUAUUUUAAAUACUUUAUCAAGUAUCAAUUGGAGGGCAAGUCUGGUGCCAGCAGCCGCGGUAAUUCCAGCUCCAAAAGCGUAUAUUAAAGUUGUUGCAGUUAAAAAGCUCGUAGUUGAAAUUGAGGAAGCGAUUUGUUUGAAGGUUAUGCCGGAUAACGAGUCGUCCUUUUCGUCGUGUAUAUUUUUGAGCCACUUAAUUGGGGUUCKUAAGUAACCGACAAGUUUACUUUGAAAAAAUUAGAGUGCUUAAAGCAGGCUUAUGCUUGUAUAUUGUUGCAUGGAAUAAUGAAAUAAGACUUCGGUUUUAUUUUGUUGGUUUUCGAAACUGAAGUAAUGAUUAAAAGAGACUGCCGGGGGCAUAUGUAUGCUGGUGCUG